rnacentral:rRNA from 1 species
UACGUAGGGUCCGAGCGUUGUCCGGAUUUAUUGGGCGUAAAGAGCUCGUAGGCGGUUCCGUAAGUCAGAUGUGAAAACUCAGGGCUCAACCCGGAGACGCCAUCUGAUACUGCGGUGACUGGAGUCUGGUAGGGGAACACGGAAUUCCUGGUGUAGCGGUGAAAUGCGCAGAUAUCGAGAGGAACACCUGCGGCGAAGGCGGGUUGCUGGGCUGAUACUGACGCUGAGGCGCGAAAGCCAGGGGAGCGAACGGG